rnacentral:rRNA from 1 species
GACGAACGCUGGCGGCGUGCUUAACACAUGCAAGUCGAACGGAAAGGCCCUGCUUUUGUGGGGUGCUCGAGUGGCGAACGGGUGAGUAACACGUGAGUAACCUGCCCUUGACUUUGGGAUAACUUCAGGAAACUGGGGCUAAUACCGGAUAGGAGCUCCUGCUGCAUGGUGGGGGUUGGAAAGUUUCGGCGGUUGGGGAUGGACUCGCGGCUUAUCAGCUUGUUGGUGGGGUAGUGGCUUACCAAGGCUUUGACGGGUAGCCGGCCUGAGAGGGUGACCGGCCACAUUGGGACUGAGUUACGGCCCAGACUCCUACGGGAGGCAGCAGUGGGGAAUAUUGCACAAUGGGCGGAAGCCUGAUGCAGCAACGCCGCGUGCGGGAUGACGGCCUUCGGGUCGUAAACCGCUUUCGCCUGUGACGAAGCGUGAGUGACGGUAAUGGGUAAAGAAGCACCGGCUAACUACGUG